AGAGUUUGAUCAUGGCUCAGGAUGAACGCUGGCGGCAUGCCUAAUACAUGCAAGUCGAACGGAAUCUUAUAUGUUCCUCGUUUCGGAUUUAGUUCCGAGUUGGGAACAAUAAGAUUUAGUGGCGGACGGGUGAGUAACACGUUGGUACCUACCCUCUAGUGGGGGAAUAACUUCGAGAAAUCGAGGCUAAUACCGCAUAAUAUCUACGGAUUAAAGCAUUUAUGCGCUAGAGGAGGGGCCUGCGUCUGAUUAGCUUGUUGGUGAGGUAAAAAGCUCACCAAGGCGACGAUCAGUAGCUGGAUCGAGAGGUUGACCAGCCACACUGGGACUGAGAUACGGCCCAGACUCCUACGGGAGGCAGCAGUAAGGAAUCUUCCACAAUGGGCGAAAGCCUGAUGGAGCAAUGCCGCGUGCAGGAUGACGGCCUUCGGGUUGUAAACUGCUUUUAUAUGGGAAGAUUAUGACGGUACCAUAUGAAUAAGGACCGGCUAACUACGUG
rnacentral:rRNA from 1 species